AAAAUACAUUGAAAAUAAUUUGUGAAUUUUAUAUUACAUAUAAAGGGAGAAUUUUUAUUAACGAGUUAAAAUCGUUCAUUGAUCUAACUGGAACGUUAUAUUUCAUGAUUUGUUUUCCUCAUUUUGUCAAAAAGGAAGGAUAUUUAGCAAGUUUUUGUUGAUCUUUUCUUUUGGAAGAAAAUUUCAUUGAAAUUAUACUCAGUUCGUGAAAAGUUGAUUGAAUAAUUAUAGAGAAAACUUUCGAAGAGUAAACAAAUAGUGUGAAAUUGUGAAAGUGUGAAACAAUUUUUUUGGAAUCAAUUUGAAGUUUUGAUUUUAAGAGAAUAGAAGAACAUUUUCGCAAAUAUCUUUUUAAGAAUCACUGUCACAACACAUAAACAAGUUGGAUUAGAGUUGUCUAUAUAGAUUGUGUUCCUAAGAAAUGCUAAUGAACAAUAGAACUGGGCACGCUUUUCCCCUGUAUUAUCCAGGACCACGUGUGUAUCAACAUCGGCCAUGCUAUCAGGGACCAGAUUGCACGUGUCCGCCAGCAAGGGCACCUGAUACAUUUCUUCAUCAGAUAUUGACGGGAAAAGGAUAUAAAAAUGACUGUCUGUUUGUUAAUCGACCAAUCAAACAGGAAGUUUAUCAAGAUUACAGCUGUUGCUAUGGUAAUGGGUACCCUCCACCAUAUCCAUAUUCCCAUCAAUAAAAGGUAUGUUUAAUAUAUGUAUAUGAGAAAAGAAAUAUCUUCAUCCGUAAUUUAAGAUAAAUGAAAAAUAUUUUAAGACAAUAAAUUACAUAUUACUUAUAGGUUUUGUAUUGCUUCUAGAAAUUACUCCCUACUUGAAAUUAAUCUAAAGUUGUAAGACAAACUCUUAAACAAAAUUUUAAUUUUUUUCUAAAUAAAAUCCUGCUACCUUUUUUUAUUUCUUUUGAAAGGAAGUGUGAAAAAAAAAACAUUUAAAGGUGCAAUCAAAAAUUGAAUAAGUUAGGGAAAUACAAACAAUACCAUGCACAAAAAGAAUUAUGACAAAAAGACAAAGUUAACAUUUUUUUAGAUUAAUGGAACUGUACUACGUACAACAAACUAUUUAGAUAAGGAUUUUAUGAUGUUUGAUAUUCGCUCGGCGAAAAGACUUAAAAUCGAAAUAUGCUGCUUCUCUGGUAAGCAUUCAACAUUUAAGGAUUACAAAAAGUAAUAUAGAAACCAAAAUAUUUUUUGUUGAAAAGGUCUUUAACUUAAAUAUACAUAAAAUUCCCCUUAACUUAGAAAGUUUAUGAUGAAUCAUGAGAAAAUACACCAGAGAAUACGAUGAUCUCAAUACCAUUCUUCGGACUUCAUGUUCUUUGAUAUAUUUGCUGUUAAAGCUUCGCCACAGAGCACAUGAAGAUACAAACUUUAUAAAAUAUAGUUUCAAAGGACAGGGGAACUUUGGAAUCAUGAAAGCGUCAGCAAUUACAGUUUCAAUUAAAGGUAGUUGUUAUUCAGUUGGUUGGUUCCCAUUUUGCACAAGCCUCAUGGCUCAAACAACAGAAUCUUAUAGUUCACCUCCGUUUAUUGUUGUAAUUGGUUCUUUGAAGUUUGAAUGGAUACAGAGUAAACAAUUUGACAACUGAAUUUAAAAAAAACGAGAUUCGGUAAAAAAAAAAACGGUCUCUUUUUUUAUUUUUUUUAAAUUUAUGAACCUCAUCCUUUGUGCUUUUUUCUCUGAAAUCAGCUUCAAUCCCCGAUAAUCGCCUGUUUUCAAAGUGAAUGUUGUUUAGGACAAUUCUUUGUGACCAAAAGAUCAAACAUUUGAUUAUUUUAAACAUACACUCCAAAUCAAAUACGUCGAAUUCGUUUUUUAAAAGAAACAAAAAACUGGUUUAACAUAGCAACAAGGUAAAUAUAAUGGAAAGUAUUCCUGCCUUGAUAAUAUGCAACGGGGGACAACUCAUUUUUUAUGUUAAAAAUAUUUAAUUAUUGCUUACGGGAGGUAUAUCUUUGGAUUUCUGAUUCAGUACAUAUUUUCCCUAAAAACAUAUACACGAAGUAAUCUCUAAAAGCUAGAUUUUUAGUUCCAGGUAAUAUUUUAAAAUGUAUGUUACGGGAGGGAUUGUGCCUGAUAUCCAUAUGAUGAAGACAUGAUCUUUCAAUCAGUUUAAUUGAGGUCUGGAGCUGGCAUGUCAGUUAUCUGCUAGUAGUAUGUUGUUAUUUAUGUAUUAUUGUCAUUUCAUUUAUUUUCUUUUGUUACAUCUUCUGACAUCGGACUUCUCUUGAACAGAAUUUUAAUGCGCGUACUGUUAUGCGUUUACUCAUCUACAUUGGCUAGAGGUAUAGGGGGCGGGUUGAGAUCUCAUAAACAUGUUUAACCCGCCGCAAUUUGCGCCUGUCCCAAGUCAAGAUCGUCUGGUUUUGUUUAGUCUUGUAUGAUUUUAAUUUUUAUUCAAUUCGGAGUUUAGUAUGCCGUCCAUUAUCACUGUACUAGUAAUACAUUUUUUUAAGGGGCCAGCUGAGACGCCUCCGGAUGCGGGAGUUCUCGCUACAUGAAACCAUUGGAGGCCUUCGGUUGUUGUCUGCUCUAUAGUCGGGUUGUUGUCGCUUUGACACAUGUACAAUUAAACUCGCCAAGAAAAACUUUCAUUUAGUUAAUAUAUAUAAUAUAUAUAUAUAUACGUCUGAGUCAGUGACAACUCUACAACAGAUGUAUCCAUCGGAUCGCCAUCAAUGAUGGUGAUACAUGGCUGUGUAAUAAUGUAUAUACAACUCGUCUAAACAUCAACCCAAACAAUGUUAGAUCUGUAAAUUUGCUUUCGCAAAUUUUUAGUUCUUCCCCUCGCCGGGGAUUCGAACCCAUGCUACUGUGAUAUCGUGACACCAAAUCGCCUGCACUGCAGCCGUCCCGCUAGACCACACGACCACCUUGGCUCUCAAAAAAGAGCUUUCGCUGGCCGUGUGUUACCUUUCCUCGUCAGUUUUAAUUUAGCGGCGUACUACAGUACAUGAUAUAUAAGGCAUGAAGAUGUUAUUGUUACAGAUCAGCUAAAUUAUAUAAUACUAGAACACACCCGUGAUAUCGCGGGUCCGUGACUGAAUUAAAGUAUAUAACUAUAUGCGCAAGCCUUAUUUUAGUAUUAGAUUGUCAUCUGAUAAAGUCAUGCCGAUUUAAGAUACACAGUUUUCUCUGCUUUCAAAUCUUUCUGUUUUGAACCCGUCGAACUGGAACUUAUCAAUUAUUGAUAAUAAUAAUUAUUUGGAAAACAAAAGGUCCUGGAAUGGAGUAUUUUUUAAUCAACAGCAUUGUCCUAUAUUAGUUAUAAAUAAGUUGAAUUCUUUGAUUCCCUGUUUUACGUCAUGCCCGCUAACAAAUUGAAAACUGUACCUAUACGCCUUAUUUUAGUCCAGAUUUUUAGUAUUCGUAUUGUUAUCUUAGAAAGUCUAACUGAUUAAAAUACUACUAUAGGUAACAAUUUGACAAUUAAGUAGUGUCAACCCUGUGAUUAUGACCCGUGUAAUACUAUAUAGCAUAUUAAUCCAGAAUACACCGUUUGGUGGUGCGCCUGUCAGAUGCGGAACGUACAGAUAAGGUAAUCGGUAACAGGUGAAUAUUCUAUUGGUAUCGGUAUCGGACUCGACCCGGAACUUCUUAAUUAUUGGCAAUAUUAAUAACGUGGAAAACAAAAGGGCCUGGAGUGAUGUAAUUUUUAAUCUACACCUUUGUACUAUAUUAGUUAUAUAUAAAGUUGAAUUCUUUGAUUCGUCGUUUUUACGUGAUGACGGCUGACAAAUUGGACCUCGUAAUUUUAGUAUUAUAGAUUCGUAUUGUUAUCUUAGAAAGUUUAACUGAUUAAAAUACUACAAUAGGUAACAAUUUGACAAUUAAGUAGUGUCAACCCUGUGAUUAUGAUAUGUGUAAUGCUAUAUAGCAUAUUGAUCCUGAAUACACCGUUUGGUGGUGCGCCUGUCAGAUGCGGAACGUACAGAUAAGGUAAUCGGUAACAGGUGAAUAUACUAUUGGUAUCGGUAUCGGACCCGACCCGGAACUUCUUAAUUAUUGGCAAUAUUAAUUACGUGGAAAACAAAAGGCCUGGAGUGGUGUAAUUUUAAUCUACACCUUUGUACUAUAUUAGUUAUAUAUAAAGUUGAAUUCUUUCGUGUUUUUACGUGAUGACGGCUGACAAAUUGGACCUCGUAAUUUUAGUAUUAUAGAUAUAUAUAUAUAGUAGUUAUAUAGUACUUACAUAGUUUAGUAUAUUCUUUUUCGAUAAAGUACAAAUAAAGUUAAAUAUAAAGACAAUGAUAAUCAAAAUGAAAACAUCACCGAAAAAAACCGUUUAUUUCCGUAUCACACCUCUAGAUCGACCUUACAACUUUAUUUUUAUCCGAGGUUUUUUUACAAUCAACAUAGGUAUUCAAAAACAGUUUUUGUUUUCAUAUGUGUACCUUUUAUUGGGCGGAUUGAAAGAGUCGACUAUUCUUAUUGAUUGAUAGCUCGAUUGGCGUUGAAGCAAUUCAUACUGUAUUCAUCCAUUUUGAAUUUUAUAGGGUUACGGUAGUCAGGUGUUAUGAUAAGUGCAGUCGAUUUGUGCUGUGCAGAUUUUAAGCAAAAUUGCUCAUAUUUGAGUAAAGCAUAUAAUUUGGUGUCAUAGAAGUAUGAUCUUCAAACAUAAAAAAAAUCUUUUGAUUUUGUCUUUGUGCAUAUUUGAUUCUUGUCAGAUCAAAAAUUUCUGCAGUUUGUAUUACUCUAGUUUGGAGAUGUUUUGCAAAAUACAUAGAUUUAAAGUGAUGCUCUCCAAAGCUCAUACGGGAAAUACAAAGGUAGACAUAAUUCAUGCAAACAUAAAAGAGGGACGAAAGAUACCAGAGGGACAGUCAAACUCAUAAAUCGAAAAAAAAAACUUGCAACGCCAUGACUAAAAAUGAAAAAGACAAAUAGACAAACAAUAGUACACAUGACACAACAUAGAAAACUAAAGAAUAAGCAACACGAACCUCACCAAAUACUAGGGGUGAUCUCAUGUGCUCCGGAAGGGUAAGCAGAUCCUGCUUACCAUGUGGCACCCGUCGUGUUUCUCAUGUUAUAACAAAUCCGGUAAAUAGUCUAACUCGGUAGGUCACAUUCAUGAAAGGGAAGGGGAUUGUAGUUACGACGUAAAGAACAUAUCUGAUAUCAUUUGUGAAAUGGUGAUUUCAUAACGGUCAACCAACUCGUGAUGGCGUCCGUAAAAUUGACGAAGGGAUGAUUUCAACUCCACUAUUUGGAACUCUUGGUUUAAUAGCUUCCUUGUGAGCAGCAACCCUUUAUCAAGAAAGUCAUGAUACGAAAUGCAAGCACGGAAAUGUCGUAUCAAUUGGGAGAUGUAUACCCCGUAUGCAGUAUAUUGUAUCAAAAAUAAUAGCUUUAAUUCCAAUACUUGGAAUAAGAGUUUUGUUAUUUUUUCUCCGUAACUGUUAUAUGAAUCAAAAGUUCUUCUGGACAGAUAAGAGCUCUUCGUGAAUAAAAAACGAGAAGAAAUGAUUGAAAUGUGUAUUUAUUAAACUUGAGUUAUCUCCCAUUCAUCAUGAAUUAAAACAUAAAAUGACAAUUUCCUUAAUGAAAAAAGGACUGUAAUUACAUUAAUUCCAGUAUGAUUAUGUUUGGAUUUUUUUUUUAAAUAGUGGAAUGUAAUAGUUUUACCCCUGUAUCAUGUGCAUGACUUUAUGUUACUUAUAAGAAUUUUACUCUGUAAUAAAAUGAUUUUUUACUGGUAAACAGUAUUUCCCAUAAAGAUGAAAAAGGUUAUGAUGGCGGGGAGAAGGAAAAAUAUUUACUUUGAUACAAAUAUGUAUGUCCCAAUUCUCACUUAAAAUCAGUAUGUUAAAACUUAUAAACACUUAAACUGAUGUAUAUAUUAUUUAUUUUUGCAGAAUGCAUGAUACCAAAUAACAAAUAUUUCUUUAAAUCUCAUGAAAGUUAUAAUGUUCAUUUUUUUAUCUUUUAAGGAAACUUUUCCAAGACCAGCUACAGACCAGAUAAAAAAUUGCAAGAUAUGGAGAAUAAUAUUUGAAUUGCGAAAAAUUGUACUGUUUGGGAGGUGUUUAUCUGUUUCUUUAUUUUGUUUUCGUCAAUCAAUUUUCUAUGAAAGGGUUUCCUCAUAUGAAUAGGCGUGCCUUGGUACUCGUUAUUUCACACCGGACCUAUUUCACUAACCAUCUUUUGGGCUACUCUUGUGUGAAUAUUUACAUGCAAUUUUUAACUUUAUCAAGUGCCAUAGUCAACUAUUUGUGUUCAUUUUUUUCUAAAUAUUGACAAAAUCAGUUCCAAAUGAACGAAUGUAUGAAAAACAUAGAAAACACAAACCCUGCUUAAGACAUUAUGACUAUAGACCGAGUGAUGAAAUCUUGUAUUUUUUUAUACACAUUUCAGUUUUUUUUUAAUUCCGGGAAGAUUUGUAAAAGGAAUUUGUUGCGAAAAUCACUUUACUGAAUAAAAAACAUAGAAAUUAAAGCUGGUUAAUGCUCAGGCUCUUGUAGUGUAAUAUUGGAUCUCUUAGGUUUGCGUUUAUUUUCAAAAAUUAUUUCUGGAAUUAAAGACCAUCAUAUAUUUCGAUGAAGAAAAAUCGUUAAGGUACAGUUGUUUUACCCGGUGCCUUGGAAAUUAUAUCAUUGCACAUGUACACCAGUUUACAUAUCUAAAUUAUGUCAUUAAAUAUAUUUAUUAGAAA
rnacentral:lncRNA from 1 species